AGAGAGUGUCUUUUUUUUUUUUUAAGGAAGAAUGCUUUAAAAAGAGAUAAGAGCAGUGCCAACAUGAAAACCAAAAAAAAAAAAAAAAACAGUGCAACGGGGUGCCAAAAAAAAGGGGGAAAACAUCUGAAAUAAGGGGGAAGAGUCAAAGGUAAAAAUCACAAAGCAAUGGAAUAAUUAAAAAGAUAACAAAAGGUUAACUAGGCAAGUUAGACCAGGGGAAGACUUAAUAUGAAAUUUGUCCUAGGAUAAAUUAUUAAAAUAUUUAAAGAUAUAAUCUAAAGCUCCUACUGAAAUAGAAGAUAAAUUUAAAACAAUUUUGAUUAAAAAG
rnacentral:lncRNA from 1 species